rnacentral:lncRNA from 1 species
CAAGGUACAAGUGGAGCCCAAGAGUGACCAGGCUACCCUACAGGUUCCAGUCAUCUCUCUAUCUAGGCAGGCACUGAUGCCAGCACACAGUCAACCAGCCAGUCAGUCAGCCAGCUAGCAGCGUCUAGUGUAUUCUCUACCUGCUUCACUCCCUUCACAGACCUAGCCAGGACAUGGUGAGGACCAAGGAGAAUAGUGAACGUGCUGGUAAAAGGGACAGCUGUCUCAUCCCUGCAAGGCCAAAUUCGGCCUGAUGUUGCCAGGAACGACACUUCCCCCCUUUUGAGAUCCUUGGUCGCCACCACUCCAAAGGAGACACUUCCCUUACAAAGAACGCUCACAAGACUCCUUGCUCCUUCUCGAGCCCAAAGCCACAAAAGAAUAUCCUUUUGAUGACA